AAAAUUUUAAAGCAAAAAUAAAAUAAAUUUUCAAAAAAUAACUUAAACACUAUCAAAUAAACAGAAACAUAUGAAUUUAAUUUUACUAUUAAUAUGCUGUAAUUAUGAAGGAUACUUAGUUAGAAUUAUAAUUUACAAAACACUCAUUUGAGUUGAGUAUACAUUGCACUUACUUCUAGAAAAUUUAGUAUAAAUAUAUUCACUUCACCAAUUCUUGACAUGUCCUCUCAUAUGAAGAUGUUGAGGAAUAAGGAAUUUUGGUUUUCAUUCUUUGUUCUUGGCCUUCUUGUCAUAUGUGAGUUGAUUUUUCAUUUCAUAAAUGAUUAGAGUAUCUUAAUGGACAUAUUGUAGUUUUAAACAAUAAUCUAUUAUAAAAAGUUUGAUGACACAGUGACAACACCUUAUGUUCGUCUUUUACAAUAUCACGAUAAUUUGGAAAUUUUCGCAUUCAUCUCCAUCAAUAUUUUACAUGUUAAUUUGUUCACAUCUGUGGUAUAAUCGUUAUAUUUAAUGUUAUGAAUUCGUUUGUGCAGUUGUAAAUGGGAACAACAUUGGUGAUAAAGCUUUAAAAACUACCUUAAUAAAGACUAUUUUGGGAGACGCAAGCCCAUAACCGUUUACUAUGGAGUAUGAUAAUCCUCAUCACGAUGCCAAGCUAAGAGGUGUCUGUGUACCACUUCCAUCAUCACAUUGUAAAGGAACAGAUGGAGCUUGUUAUUGUUGUAUUGGUCCAAAUAUGAAUAUAUGCAUAUGAGGUCUUAGUUUUUGUAAUACUAUAUGUUCUUAAAAUAUGAGUAGAAGAUUUUUUAUAUGUAAGUUAGUCGUUUUCAAAAUAAAAUUAAAUGGUUUUGAGCUUAGCAAAUGUCAUAAAAAAUUGAAUUCAUAUGUUCUUAAUUGCACAUAACCCUUAUUUCGUACCAAAUAAUAUUUGUUUUCUUAAAAUAUAUAAUUGAAGUUAUUUGAAUAAUAGAUAAAUAUUUAAUUUUCUUCUAUUAUGACUUACGUACAAAUUCAAUGAUAUAUUGAUUAAAAUUAAAUUAAUUUAUGUAACAAUUAAUAAGUAAAACUAAAACGAUAUAAAAUUUAUAGAAAAAUAUAUGGAUGCCGAAGAAAACUAUUUGAAAGCUAUCAUAUUAUAAAUAAGGAACAAAAUACAAAAUAAUGAACGAUAAAUGAAUCUCCCGAUAUUGUAAAUUAUAUUUAAAACUACAUAAACCAUUACAAUAAUAAAGUGAUAAGCUACUAAAAUUUAUAUUAUAUUUUCAUAACAUGUACAUGUGUUUAUGUGCCUUAAGGACAUUUAUUUGGAAGACAUGAUCAAGAAACUAUAAAAUUUGGUUUUAUAGAAGUUAUCAGAAAACAUAUAUAUUACCUACUAAAGGCGUAGAAUUAAAUGAAAACAUGCCUCUAAAAGCUCGGAUAAGGCAAAAGGUACUUCUAGCAGAUUUUGUAUUAUGUGUUUUUUAUUAUAAAUAAAAUUUAAGAGCUUGUACAUUCUAACCCAGUUUUUUCUAUUCGAGUUUUCUUUUGUAAAUCAAAAACUUUUAAAAAUCCAAGAAAUCUCAAGCCCGAGUAUGUCCAUAAUAUUUUCAAAAUAGAUGCGUGUUAUAGCGACCUAUUUUAAAUAAUUUACAUUGUUUCUUUUCCUCUAAUAUAUAAAAAAGAAAAAAGCAGACAAAAUAAGUAUUUAUGAAAUGGUAAUUUGCAUCUGAGCGACAUUGUUCUUAUCACAUUCUAAACUACGUGAAAAAAAAAUUAAAAUUUUAAAGCAAAAAUAAAAUAAAUAUUCAAAAAAUUACUUAAAUAUUAACGAAUAAACAGAAACAUAUGAAUUUAAUUUUACUAUUAAUAUGUUGUAAUUAUAAAGGAUACUUAGUUAGAAUAAUAAUUUAAAAAAACGCUCAUUUGAGUUGAGUAUACAUUGCACUUACUUCUAGUAAAUUUAGUAUAAAGAUAUUCACUUCACCAAUUCUUCACAUGUCCUCUCACAUGAAGAUGUUGAGGAAUAAGGAAUUUUGGUUUUCAUUCUUUGUUCUUGGCCUUCUUGUCAUAUGUGAGUUGAUUGUUCAUUUCAUAAAUGAUUAGAGUAUCUUAAUGGACAUAUUGUAAUGUUAAACAAUAAUCUAUUAUAAAAAGUUUGAUGACACACUGACAACAUCUUAUGUUCAUCUUUUACAAUAUCGCGAUAAUUUGGAAAUUUUCGCAUUCAUCUCCAUCAAUAUUUUACAUGUUAAUUUGUUCACAUCUGUGGUAUAAUCGUUAUAUUUAAUGUUAUGAAUUCGUUUGUGCAGUUGUAAAUGGGAACAACAUUGGUGAUAAAGCUUUAAAAACUACCUUAAUAAAGACUAUUUUGGGAGAUGCAAGCCCACAACAGUCUACUAUGGAGUAUGAUAAUCCUCAUCACGAUGCCAAGCUAAGAGGUGUCUGUGUACCACUUCCAUCAUCACAUUGUAAAGGAACAGAUGGAGCUUGCUAUUGUUGUAUUGGUCCAAAUAUGAAUAUAUGCAUACGAGGUCUUAGUUUGUGUAAUACUUUAUGUUCUUAAAAUAUGUGUAGAUAGACUUUUUAUAUGUAAAUUAGUCGUUUUCAAAAUAAAAUUAAAUGGUUUUGUGCUUACCAAAUGUCAUAAAAAAUUCAAUUCAUAUGUUCUUAAUUGAACAUAACCCUUAUUUCGUUCCAAAUAGUAUUUGUUUUCUUAAAAUAUGUAAUUGAAGUUAUUUGAAUAAUAGAGAAAUAUUUAAUUUUCUUCUAGUAAGACUUAUGAACAAAUUCAAUAAUAUAUUGAUUAAAAUUAAAUUAAUUUAUAUAACAAUUAAUAAGUAAAACUAAAAACGAUAUAAAAUUUAUAGAAAAAUAUAUGGAUGCCGAAGAAAACUAUUUGAAAGCUAUCAUAUUAUAAAUAAGGAACAAAAUACAAAAUAAUGAAAGAUAAAUGUAUCUCCCAAUAUUGUAAAUUAUAUUUAAAACUACAUAAACCAUUACAAUAAUAAAGUGAUAAGCUACUAAUAUUUAUAUUAUAUUUUCAUAACAUGUACAUGUGUUUAUGUGCCUUAAGGACAUUUAUUUGGAAGACAUGAUCAAGAAACUAUAAAAUUUGGUUUUAUAGAAGUUUUCAGAAAACAUAUAUAUUAGCUACUAAAGGCGUAGAAUUAAAUUAAAACAUGCCUCUAAAAGCUCGGAUAAGGCAAAAGGUACUUCUAGCAGAUUUCGUAUUAUGUGUUUUUUAUUAUAAAUAAAAUUUAAGAGCUUGUACAUUCUAACCCAGUUUUUUCUAUUCAAGUUUUCUUUAGUAAAUCAAAAAAUUUUAAAAAUCCAAGAAAUCUCAUGGCCGAGUAUGUCCAUAAUAUUUUCAAAAUAGAUGCGUGUUACAGUGACCUAUUUUAAAUAAUUUACAUAUUUUCUUAUCCUCUAAUAUAUAAAAUAGAAAAAAGAAGACAAAAUAAGUAUUUAUGAAAUGGUAAUUUGCAUCUAAGCGACAAGUUUUCUUUAGUAAAUCAAAAAAUUUUAAAAAUCCAAGAAAUCUCAUGGCCGAGUAUGUCCAUAAUAUUUUCAAAAUAGAUGCGUGUUACAGUGACCUAUUUUAAAUAAUUUACAUAUUUUCUUAUCCUCUAAUAUAUAAAAUAGAAAAAAGAAGACAAAAUAAGUAUUUAUGAAAUGGUAAUUUGCAUCUAAGCGACAUUGUUCCUCUCACAUUCUAAACUACUUGAAAAAAAAAUUAAAGCAAAAAUAAAAUAAAUUUUCAAAAAAUAACUUAAACACUAUCAAAUAAACUGAAACAUAUGAAUUUAAUUUUACUAUAAAUAUGUUGUAAUUAUGAAGGAUAGUUAGUUUGAAUAAUAAUUUACAAAACGCUCAUUUGAGUUGAGUAUACAUUGCACUUACUUCUAGUAAAUUUAGUAUAAAUAUAUUCACUUCACCAAUUCUUGACAUGUCCUCUCAUAUGAAGAUGUUGAGGAAUAAGGAAUUUUGGUUUUCAUUCUUUGUUCUUGGCCUUCUUGUCAUAUGUGAGUCGAUUUUUCAUUUCAUAAAUGAUUAGAGUAUCUUAAUGGACAUAUUGUAGUUUUAAACAAUAAUCUAUUAUAAAAAGUUUGAUGACACAGUGACAACACCUUAUGUUGGUCUUUUACAAUAUCACAAUAAUUUGGAAAUUUUCGCAUUCAUCUCCAUCAAUAUUUUACAUGUUAAUUUGUUCAGAUCUGUGGUAUAAUCGUUAUAUUUAAUGUUAUGAAUUCGUUUGUGCAGUUGUAAAUGGGAACAACAUUGGUGAUAAAGCUUUAAAAACUACCUUAAUAAAGACUAUUUUGGGAGAUGCAAGCCCACAACCGUCUACUAUGGAGUAUGAUAAUCCUCAUCACGAUGCCAAGCUAAGAGGUGUCUGUGUACCACUUCCAUCGUCACAUUGUAAAGGAACAGAUGGAGCUUGCUAUUGUUGUAUUGGGCCAAAUAUGAACAUAUGCAUACGAGGUCUUAGUUUGUGUAAUACUAUAUGUUCUUAAAAUAUGACUAGAUAGAUUUUUUAUAUGUAAGUUAGUCGUUUUCAAAAUAAAAUUAAAUGGUUUUGUGCUUACCAAAUGUCAUAAAAAAUUGAAUUCAUAUGUUCUUAAUUGCAUAUAACCCUUAUUUCGUACCAAAUAAUAUUUGUUUUCUAAAAUAUGUAAUUGAAGUUAUUUGAAUAACAGAUAAAUAUUUAAUUUUCUUCUAGUAAGACUUACGAACACAUUCAAUGAUAUGUUGAUUAAAAUUAAAUUAAUUUAUGUAACAAUUAAUAAGUAAAACUAAAAACGAUAUAAAAUUUGUAGAAAAAUAUAUGGAUGCCGAAGAAAACUAUUUGAAAGCUAUCAUAUUAUAAAUAAGGAACAAAAUACAAAAUAAUGAAAGAUAAAUGUAUCUCCCAAUAUUGUAAAUUAUAUUUAAAACUACAUAAACCAUUACAAUAAUAAAGUGAUAAGCUACUAAUAUUUAUAUUAUAUUUUCAUAACAUGUACAUGUGUUUAUGUGCCUUAAGGACAUUUAUUUGGAAGACAUGAUCAAGAAACUAUAAAAUUUGGUUUUAUAGAAGUUUUCAGAAAACAUAUAUAUUAGCUACUAAAGGCGUAGAAUUAAAUGAAAACAUGCCUCUAAAAGCUCGGAUAAGGCAA
rnacentral:lncRNA from 1 species